CAAAGCGCAAAGUAUGGCGCGUAAACGCGUCUAGAAACGCCUCAGAAAAGCGGGAAACAAACGCGCCGAAAAUGGUUCAUUCCUAAAGUACGACGUGCAAAACCGAACGCGCCGCUCCCCGCUAUAACUCCGAGAAAAUCCACCGAACAGUUGACGCUCACGGUCAAGCCCCUGCGACGCUGUAAUUCGAUAGUUCCAUCUAACAGGCGGGCUUUCGGUGGAGAGCUCGGCUAACUAUUGGCUGACUGCCACGUCAAUCAAGCGCUGAUUUGCAUAAGCAGGUCAGGUUGCAGUUGCAGGGGAGUGGACCGGGUUGGGAUAGCGCAAGUGAGCUGAACUUCUGCGCUGGUGUAGUGCACUAUCCUCAAUUUAAUACUUUAUUUAAGGAAUUAUUUAUUUUGACGAAAACAGCUCUAUCCUCGUGUGCUUUUAUUAAUACCACUAAGGACGGUCGGAUUCGCUCUUCUCCCAGUAAUUAACGGGUUUAUUGGGAAGUUGAGGUUUACAGGGACAUCCCGGGCUUGCAGUGCCAUCCGAACCUGUGAUUUCUGAAAGCAGGUAAGCCACUGACUAACGCACAUUGCGCCUGUUCUUCACUCCACUGUGCGUGUGACAGCGGCUAACCAGCUUUUGGAUGAGUGCUUGACCUCAGCGUCCCACCGGGGAGUCCUGAAGGGCUCGGGCGGAUACGGCCCCUGGAGGGACGCUUUUGGGCCCCCGUCCCUCCACCGGUCUUUUUGUUCCUGUAGCUCAGCUGCUUGAAACCCAGAGGUUGUGGGUUUGAAUCCCGUGCAACACGUGCUAAGAAAUGGAGUGUAAACGUGUCACAGAGCUCUAGAUGAAGCGGCUUCGCUCAUUUAAAGUUUUAUGCAUAAUAAUAAUAAUAAUGUUGUUUUUGCACGUAAGCAGCAGCUCUGAACUUUGAACUUGUGCGGUUCUGCAAAUCCAGGUACAGUAACAUCAUGUGAAACACACUCGGCCUGUUAGCUGUGCUUUAAUUUAUCAUAUAUAAUAAUUAAACUUUCUCUCUGAUCGGCGGUUUUGGUUUCAUAGAUGUACAGUAAGUGUGUUUUAUUGGAUGUUUUCCUUUUUCAAUAGGUUGGCGAUUUCAUGAUGUGACACGUGAUUGUAUUAUAUUGCCUUAUAAUAUGAAAAUAUAUAUCAAAUAAAAUAUAUCAAAAAUAUGAAA